rnacentral:rRNA from 1 species
GGACUACCGGGGUAUCUAAUCCUGUUCGCUCCCCACGCUUUCGCUCCUCAGCGUCAGUAUCGGCCCAGAGACCCGCCUUCGCCACCGGUGUUCCUCCUGAUAUCUGCGCAUUUCACCGCUACACCAGGAAUUCCAGUCUCCCCUACCGAACUCAAGUCUGCCCGUAUCGACUGCAAGCCCACAGUUAAGCUGUAGGUUUUCACAGUCGACGCGACAAACCGCCUACGAGCUCUUUACGCCCAAUAAUUCCGGACAACGCUCGCACCCUACGUAUUACCGCGGCUGCUGGCAC